CUCCCUAGCUCUUACAACAAAUACCCAGUUCCUGUGGGUUUGUAACAUCUCGUUAUUCCUGAAGGAACAGAUCUGGAAGAAGGCAGACUUUUCUGUAAGCCUAAAAAUUCUUCAGGGUUCCUGUUCUCUGAGCCUUUCCAAUCCAGAAUGAUUUGAUUGGCUGUGUCAGGAUCUCCCCAUCCCUGGAACUUCCGUCUACUCUCUGUUCGGUGAAAUUUUGAGUCGCCCAGCAUGGCCAGGGUCUCAAACCCUCUAAUUCAAUCUGCUCUAAUGGAGUCAAGCUGACAGUAAAGAGAAGAUCAGAAACAGCGAGUCUAAUCUGCCUAUAUGGGAGAAAAUUCAGCAAACAGGAACCAGCUCAGAGACCAAGAAAACCAAACAAGGUUAUUAACCCACAUCAGAACACCAGAGAGAUAACAAGAAGUUGGUUCCAAGAUGAAAAAUGCAAGAGAGAAGCAGAUUGUGGAACAAAAGAGAGGAUGUUCCAUGUUCAUAUACACCUGAUUGUACUUAGAGCCUCACCCUUCCUUUCUAUCUCAGCAGGGACCUUCUGGAAAAGCUUUUCAUUCUGUGCACUUUUCUUUCUCUGGCUUUCUUUGUCUCUAGAUUUUCUUUGUUCUGUGCCUGACCUGUCAUAAUCCUCUGAGGUUUUAUUCUCAUUCCUCUGCAUCCC
rnacentral:lncRNA from 1 species